CCAGACUCCUACGGGAGGCAGCAGUGAGGAAUAUUGGUCAAUGGACGCAAGUCUGAACCAGCCAUGCCGCGUGCAGGAAGACGGCUCUAUGAGUUGUAAACUGCUUUUGUACGAGGGUAAACUCGGAUACGUGUAUCCGUUUGAAAGUAUCGUACGAAUAAGGAUCGGCUAACUCCGUGCCAGCAGCCGCGGUAAUACGGAGGAUGCGAGCGUUAUCCGGAUUUAUUGGGUUUAAAGGGUGCGUAGGCGGAAGGUUAAGUCAGCGGUCAAAUGUCGGUGCUCAACACCGGCCUGCCGUUGAAACUGGUCUUCUUGAGUGAGCGAGAAGUAUGCGGAAUGUGUGGUGUAGCGGUGAAAUGCAUAGAUAUCACGCAGAACUCCGAUUGCGAAGGCAGCAUACCGGCGCUCAACUGACGCUGAGGCACGAAAGCGUGGGGAUCGAACAGGAUUAGAUACCCCCGUACUC
rnacentral:rRNA from 1 species